rnacentral:rRNA from 2 species
UUGGCACAGGACGUCACAGAGGGUGAGAAUCCCGUACGUGAUCGGACGCCCCAUGUGAAGCGCCUUCGACGAGUCGAGUUGUUUGGGAAUGCAGCUCUAAAUGGGUGGUAAAUUUCAUCUAAAGCUAAAUACUGGCCGGAGACCGAUAGCGCACAAGUAGAGUGAUCGAAAGAUGAAAAGCACUUUGGAAAGAGAGUUAAACAGUACGUGAAAUUGUUGAAAGGGAAGCGCUUGCAACCAGACUUGCCUGCGGUUGAUCAACCGGGUGCACUCGACCGUGGUCAGGCCAGCAUCAGUUCUGGCGGUGGGAGAAAGACUGCGGGAAUGUAGCUCCUCUCGGGGAGUGUUAUAGCCCGUAGUGCAAUGCCACCUGUUAGGACUGAGGACCGCGCUUCGGC